rnacentral:pre_miRNA from 1 species
GUAUUACCAUGAGUUCCCCGCAAGCAUUUCACAAGGCAUUAUCCAAAAUGCAAAUGUGAAGUGUUUGGGGGAACUCUCGGUGCCAC